UCUAUACGACUCUCGGCAACGGAUAUCUCGGCUCUCGCAUCGAUGAARAACGUAGCGAARUGCGAUACUUGGUGUGAAUUGCAGAAUCCCGUGAACCAUCGAGUCUUUGAACGCAAGUUGCGCCCGAGGCCUUUCGGUUGAGGGCACGCCUGCCUGGGCGUCACGC
rnacentral:rRNA from 1 species